rnacentral:misc_RNA from 1 species
GAUGAAGAACGUAGUGAAAUGCGAUAAGUAAUGUGAAUUGCAGAGUUCAGUGAAUCAUCGAAUCUUUGAACGCACAUUGCGCCCGUCAGUAUUCUGACGGGCAUGCCUGUCCGAGCGUCAUUUCAACCCUCAAGCACUGCUUGGCGUUGGCGGAUUGCGUGCCCUCGCGGCGCCGCAACCGCCCAAAUACAGUGGCGGUCCCGCUGCGGCUCCCUUUGCGUAGUAACUCACCUCGCACUGGACCGGGCGGCGGCCUGCCGUAAAACCCCAACUCACGAAAUGUUGACCUCGGAUCAGGUAGGAAUACCCACUGAACUUAAGCAUAUCAAUAAGCGGAGGA